AUGAACGCUGGCGGCGUGCCUAAUACAUGCAAGUCGAGCGAACAGACGAGGAGCUUGCUCCUUUGACGUUAGCGGCGGACGGGUGAGUAACACGUGGAUAACCUACCUAUAAGACUGGGAUAACUUCGGGAAACCGGAGCUAAUACCGGAUAACAUGUUGAACCGCAUGGUUCAACAGUGAAAGACGGUCUUGCUGUCACUUAUAGAUGGAUCCGCGCCGCAUUAGCUAGUUGGUAAGGUAACGGCUUACCAAGGCAACGAUGCGUAGCCGACCUGAGAGGGUGAUCGGCCACACUGGAACUGAGACACGGUCCAGACUCCUACGGGAGGCAGCAGUAGGGAAUCUUCCGCAAUGGGCGAAAGCCUGACGGAGCAACGCCGCGUGAGUGAAGAAGGUCUUCGGAUCGUAAAACUCUGUUAUUAGGGAAGAACAAAUGUGUAAGUAACUAUGCACGUCUUGACGGUACCUAAUCAGAAAGCCACGGCUAACCACGUG
rnacentral:rRNA from 1 species